UCUUCCUGCCGAGGAAGCUAUUGUUGCUACAUGUAGGAGGAUUUUCAAUCAAAUCAGCAAUAGCCAACAAAGCUUGCUCAUCAAGAUGCAGUAUAACCGAGCUAUACUUAACAUCAUCUGAGCGGAUCCGAAAAACCAAGAAUUCGCUUUCUAAUUGAGCAAACCACAAUUUAGGCUGCUUAUGCCAAAAAUUCGGCAAUUUAACAAGGCGAAAUUCGUUAGAAUGGAUCUCGUUUGGCUGACCUUGUUGAUGAGGCUCAUUACUGGCAAGAGUUUGUGUCGGAUUCGUCAAACG